GCAGUAUCUCGUUCGGCGAGGCUCCUAUGCAAACACAGGUCACUGAUCUGACGACGUCGAGAGACGCCCAAGGUUAGGACAGGCUUUAUCGGAUUAAGGUUUAGCCCAAAGUGACUUCCCUGGCAGGAUACGUUGCAUAGUGCCAAAACCUAGACGCGGAGAUCGCUU
rnacentral:sRNA from 1 species